rnacentral:rRNA from 1 species
GACAGAGGUGCCAAGCGUUAGGCGGAAUCACUGGGCUUAAAGCGUGUGUAGGUGGACCUGUAAGUACCUUGUGAAAUCCCACGGCUUAACCGUGGAACUGCUCGGUAUACUGCGGGUCUGAGGUGCCUAGGGGCGAGCGGAACAAUGGUGGAGCGGUGAAAUGCGUAGAUAUCAUUUGGAACGCCAACGGAGAAAUCAGGUAGCUGGGGGUGUGCUGACGCUGGAGACACGAAAGCCCAGGGGAGCGAAACGGGG